rnacentral:rRNA from 1 species
GAUGAACGCUGGCGGCGUGCCUAAUACAUGCAAGUCGAGCGAACGGACGAGAAGCUUGCUUCUCUGAUGUUAGCGGCGGACGGGUGAGUAACACGUGGAUAACCUACCUAUAAGACUGGGAUAACUUCGGGAAACCGGAGCUAAUACCGGAUAAUAUUUUGAACCGCAUGGUUCAAAAGUGAAAGACGGUCUUGCUGUCACUUAUAGAUGGAUCCGCGCUGCAUUAGCUAGUUGGUAAGGUAACGGCUUACCAAGGCAACGAUGCAUAGCCGACCUGAGAGGGUGAUCGGCCACACUGGAACUGAGACACGGUCCAGACUCCUACGGGAGGCAGCGGUAGGGAAUCUUCCGCAAUGGGCGAAAGCCUGACGGAGCAACGCCGCGUGAGUGAUGAAGGUCUUCGGAUCGUAAAACUCUGUUAUUAGGGAAGAACAUAUGUGUAAGUAACUGUGCACAUCUUGACGGUACCUAAUCAGAAAGCCACGGCUAACUACGUGCCAGCAGCCGCGGUAAUACGUAGGUGGCAAGCGUUAUCCGGAAUUAUUGGGCGUAAAGCGCGCGUAGGCGGUUUUUUAAGUCUGAUGUGAAAGCCCACGGCUCAACCGUGGAGGGUCAUUGGAAACUGGAAAACUUGAGUGCAGAAGAGGAAAGUGGAAUUCCAUGUGUAGCGGUGAAAUGCGCAGAGAUAUGGAGGAACACCAGUGGCGAAGGCGACUUUCUGGUCUGUAACUGACGCUGAUGUGCGAAAGCGUGGGGAUCAAACAGGAUUAGAUACCCUGGUAGUCCACGCCGUAAACGAUGAGUGCUAAGUGUUAGGGGGUUUCCGCCCCUUAGUGCUGCAGCUAACGCAUUAAGCACUCCGCCUGGGGAGUACGACCGCAAGGUUGAAACUCAAAGGAAUUGACGGGGACCCGCACAAGCGGUGGAGCAUGUGGUUUAAUUCGAAGCAACGCGAAGAACCUUACCAAAUCUUGACAUCCUUUGACAACUCUAGAGAUAGAGCCUUCCCCUUCGGGGGACAAAGUGACAGGUGGUGCAUGGUUGUCGUCAGCUCGUGUCGUGAGAUGUUGGGUUAAGUCCCGCAACGAGCGCAACCCUUAAGCUUAGUUGCCAUCAUUAAGUUGGGCACUCUAAGUUGACUGCCGGUGACAAACCGGAGGAAGGUGGGGAUGACGUCAAAUCAUCAUGCCCCUUAUGAUUUGGGCUACACACGUGCUACAAUGGACAAUACAAAGGGCAGCGAAACCGCGAGGUCAAGCAAAUCCCAUAAAGUUGUUCUCAGUUCGGAUUGUAGUCUGCAACUCGACUACAUGAAGCUGGAAUCGCUAGUAAUCGUAGAUCAGCAUGCUACGGUGAAUACGUUCCCGGGUCU